rnacentral:lncRNA from 1 species
AGAUGAAAUGAAGUUGCAGGAUACUGAAAAUAUAUCACAACAGCAAGAGGACAAGCCUGAGGAUGAACAAGAGAAUUUAUUGACAGAUGAAGGAAAAGAAGAAGGUGAAAUUUGUGAGCAGUUGGAUCAGAGAUCUAAAGACGAGCAUGAUGCACAAAACCAUCCACCAAAUCUGGAGUCAGGUGAUGACUUGUCAAAUAAAGCCAGCAGGGAGAAAACACCUCUACAGCAUGAAGAUAAUACUGCAGCAAUUGAGCAACGGAAGACUAAGGUGAGAAAUGACUAUAUCUGCUCGAUAGGCUCAAUACUAAGAGGUUGGUUAUUAAUCUUUAAAAUGUAGUCAACUGAAUAUUGUAAGAGAAGCAAAAUAGAAAAAUGAAAGAAAAGGCAUUUGUAGCUCCUAUUGCAUACUUUUAAACAAAACAUUUAAGUUGAAAUUCCGUACAUUUGGUCACACUAAAGAAAACUAUGAGCUACACAGAUCUCUGUUUACUUUGUCAACUUAUAUUCAGUCAAUGUAUUUAAAGACUCUUUACAAGCAUAGAGGACAAUACCUUUUGUUUGCCUUGUAGAUAUGAACAACACACUUGUUUGUCCAGGUAUAUGGCUAGCAGAAUUGUUUCAUGACCAUUGUUGUCGCUAAUGGUUUUUGGCUUGAAAACUGAUAUGCUUUAA